rnacentral:lncRNA from 1 species
AGGCAGAGUGAAGACAACCAUCUACAAGCCAAGGAGAGAAGCCUCCGAAGAUAUCGACCCUGCUGAAACCUUGAUCUUAGGCUCUAGCCUCUAGAACUUUGAGAAUGUAAGUUUCUGUUGCUAAGCCACCCAGUCUGUGGUCCUUUGUUAUGGCAGCCCUGAGAAAACAUAAUGUAUACCCUUAGGCUAUGUCUAAUUUCCCAGAGGAAUGACCCAGGAAGAACUUAGUGAACACUCUGUUGGAAACAUCAGUCUUCUUCACUUGUGCUCAGAUAAACCAUGGACUGUAGCUGUGUUGACGAAGAGUCUGGCAUUUUCUACAAAGGGCAGGUUCCUUGUAUGGGAAGAGUGCUAUGAGUCCCCAAAGCAAAAGGCCCACCUCACUUUUCAACAGCCACACCAAACUUGUCCAGCUUUGCUAAAAGCUACAGAGAGU